UUAUAUUGAAGUUAGAAAUUCCAGUAUUGUGACAGCACUGGCAGGGACUUUUUUUUUUAACAAUGAGCCUGUCGGUGGCAAAAACAAGCGCUUAAAGGGGUGGGUUCAAGUUGUUACAUUGCAGCCUGUUUUGCAGCUGCUGGCUGCAGCACUCUCCCUCAAUACGGGACCAAUGUCAAAAAUUUCAGUUCCUUUAGUCACUCACACAAAAUUUCACCUCACUAUGACCCCAACACACCAAUGUCUUCUCUCCUGCACAACCUUGGAAAGUCAUGGGCCAUUGUUAUCAUAAGAUAUUAUGUGGAAGAGGUUCUUGUCAAAACUAUAAAAAGAGGAAAAGUCCCCACCAAAAGAAACUGCUCCUAAACAAGAGAACUGUUGUUGAAAUAUUGUAGCUAAAUUGGGAGUGCAUCUGGUCUUGGCUGAGCACACUCCCCUUAUCAGAGAGCAGCGUGUGGACAAACAUCAUUGCAGCUGGCAAAGGGGGGAAGUGAGAAGGCGACGUAGGAGGAGUCACCCACCUAUAUGACUAGUGUGAGGAUCUAGGUCAUACGAUGGAGCUGCUGCCAACACCAUCAUCAUCACCCGCAUGUUAAAGCCAGACAGAAAAAAAAACAGCCAAAAUCACUUUGGACUUCUCAGUUUGGGAUAAGAAUUGUUGCCAUUUUGGUUACACUUGGAAAGCUUGCAGCUCUAAAAUGGGACACGGGGUCAGCUAUUGUAAAUGUUUGAACUUCAACACCCAGGAAUCUGAUGAUGUCAUAUCAUGUCACUUGACAAAACACUGACAUGUUUGCCGACCUGGGCAGUCUGGCAUUACUUUUUGGAUACUGAACAGAUAAUGGCAAAAAUAUCUAGUGUUGUAUAAUACAGAUAAUUCCUCUGCUUAACAUACCGAAUUCAUGACUUGGUUUGUUAAUGUUUGCCUGUCAAUUUGCAAGUGCUAGAUGAAUGAUGCUGUCCAUUCAGUCUGACUGGAAGAUGCAUUUCAGUAAUGAGAAUCUAGAGAAGGCCAUACUGAAUAAAAAAAAACAAAAAACUUUGGCACGGGAACUUCAGGAUUAAUAAAUAAGACUUUUACAACCCAGGGGACCUACUUAUUACUUUGAUAUCAAAUCUAUGCAAUACCAUUUACCUGUUCUAACUUCUUUUGUAGUCAUUUCUUAGGUUUGCAAAAGGGUUAUCACUUUAUUUAUGUCACUUAAGCACUCAAUGACAAUAGUUAAAAAGGCUAGGAAAAUUACCGCAGACUCCUCCCAUGUCCUGUUGUCAGAAUACAAACUGCUUCCAUCACAUAGGGUUCUCAUUAAACACAGAGAGGAGAUACCAGAAAAAGUAUAAAACUCUUUCAUCCCAUUGUCAGUGAAUUUCCUAAACUCAGGGGAAAAGGAGGAUGUAUAAUAAGGGGCAGUGUCGCAUGUAUUUAAAUGCACUUUAUGUCUCUUUCUGCACAAUGUAUGUAUUUUUAUGUGGCAGCCUUUAUAUUUAAGACAAAUUUCCCUGGGGACAGAUAAAGUAAUCUUGAAUCUUUUCAGGUCAUUCUGUGCUGUGUCUCUCUGCCUUCAUGUAACUGUAUUUGCUCUGCCUUUUAUUAGAACAUUGACAAGCAUGUACUUCUGUUCAGAGGUAAUAAUAUGAUGAUAUACAUCGUUACAUGCUAUACAUGUUUAUAAAAAUACGUUUUCUACUGUGGCAUCAAACACUUUAUCAUGUAGAGAUGUAUUAGUCCAUUGUGGGCAAUGUUGGAGUGCCUUAUGGUAAUAUUAAAUAUUAAAUUGAAGUGAAUAUUUUAACAUCAAUAUAAUGAAAGGCUUUAAUUUCUCAGGUAUUUUAA